AUUGAACGCUGGCGGCAGGCCUAACACAUGCAAGUCGAACGGUAACAGGAAGCAGCUUGCUGCUUCGCUGACGAGUGGUGGACGGGUGAGUAAUGUCUGGGAAGCUGCCUGAUGGAGGGGGAUAACUACUGGAAACGGUAGCUAAUACCGCAUAAUGUCGCAAGACCAAAGAGGGGGACCUUCGGGCCUCUUGCCAUCGGAUGUGCCCAGAUGGGAUUAGCUUGUUGGUGGGGUAACGGCUCACCAAGGCGACGAUCCCUAGCUGGUCUGAGAGGAUGACCAGCCACACUGGAACUGAGACACGGUCCAGACUCCUACGGGAGGCAGCAGUGGGGAAUAUUGCACAAUGGGCGCAAGCCUGAUGCAGCCAUGCCGCGUGUAUGAAGAAGGCCUUCGGGUUGUAAAGUACUUUCAGCGGGGAGGAAGGGAGUAAAGUUAAUACCUUUGCUCAUUGACGUUACCCGCAGAAGAAGCACCGGCUAACUCCGUGCCAGCAGCCGCGGUAAUACGGAGGGUGCAAGCGUUAAUCGGAAUUACUGGGCGUAAAGCGCACGCAGGCGGUUUGUUAAGUCAGAUGUGAAAUCCCCGGGCUCAACCUGGGAACUGCAUCUGAUACUGGCAAGCUUGAGUCUCGUAGAGGGGGGUAGAAUUCCAGGUGUAGCGGUGAAAUGCGUAGAGAUCUGGAGGAAUACCGGUGGCGAAGGCGGCCCCCUGGACGAAGACUGACGCUCAGGUGCGAAAGCGUGGGGAGCAAACAGGAUUAGAUACCCUGGUAGUCCACGCCGUAAACGAUGUCGACUUGGAGGUUGUGCCCUUGAGGCGUGGCUUCCGGAGCUAACGCGUUAAGUCGACCGCCUGGGGAGUACGGCCGCAAGGUUAAAACUCAAAUGAAUUGACGGGGGCCCGCACAAGCGGUGGAGCAUGUGGUUUAAUUCGAUGCAACGCGAAGAACCUUACCUGGUCUUGACAUCCACGGAAGUUUUCAGAGAUGAGAAUGUGCCUUCGGGAACCGUGAGACAGGUGCUGCAUGGCCGUCGUCAGCUCGUGUUGUGAAAUGUUGGGUUAAGUCCCGCAACGAGCGCAACCCUUAUCCUUUGUUGCCAGCGGUCCGGCCGGGAACUCAAAGGAGACUGCCAGUGAUAAACUGGAGGAAGGUGGGGAUGACGUCAAGUCAUCAUGGCCCUUACGACCAGGGCUACACACGUGCUACAAUGGCGCAUACAAAGAGAAGCGACCUCGCGAGAGCAAGCGGACCUCAUAAAGUGCGUCGUAGUCCGGAUUGGAGUCUGCAACUCGACUCCAUGAAGUCGGAAUCGCUAGUAAUCGUGGAUCAGAAUGCCACGGUGAAUACGUUCCCGGGCCU
rnacentral:rRNA from 1 species